rnacentral:rRNA from 1 species
AGAGUUUGAUCCUGGCUCAGAUUGAACGCUGGCGGCAUGCUUUACACAUGCAAGUCGAACGGCAGCACGGGUGCUUGCACUUGGUGGCGAGUGGCGGACGGGUGAGUAAUACAUCGGAACGUGUCCUAAAGUGGGGGAUAACGCAUCGAAAGAUGUGCUAAUACCGCAUAAUCUCUGAGGAGAAAAGUAGGGGAUCGAAAGACCUUAUGCUUUUGGAGCGGCCGAUGUCUGAUUAGCUAGUUGGUGAGGUAAAGGCUCACCAAGGCAAUGAUCAGUAGUUGGUCUGAGAGGACGACCAGCCACACUGGGACUGAGACACGGCCCAGACUCCUACGGGAGGCAGCAGUGGGGAAUUUUGGACAAUGGGCGAAAGCCUGAUCCAGCAAUGCCGCGUGAGUGAAGAAGGCCUUCGGGUUGUAAAGCUCUUUCAGUCGAGAAGAAAAAAUUAUGACUAAUAAUCAUAAUUCAUGACGGUAUCGGCAGAAGAGCCC